rnacentral:rRNA from 1 species
GACGAACGCUGGCGGCGUGCUUAACACAUGCAAGUCGAACGAACAGGCCCUGCGUUUGUGGCUUUCUCGAGUGGCGCACGGGUGAGUGACACGUGUGUAACCUGCCCUUAACUUUGGGAUAACUUCUGGGAACUGGGGCUCAUACCGGGUAUGAUCUACUGCACCAUAUGGGGGGUUAGAGAGUUUCGGCGGUUGUGGCUGUAAUCGAGGCUUCUCCGCUUGUUGGGGGGGUAGUGGCUUACGAAGGCUGUGACGGGUAGGCGGCCUGAGAGGGUGACCGGCCACAUUGGGACUGAGAUACGGACCAGACUGCUACGUGAGGCAGCAGGGGGGAACAUGGCAGAACGGGCGGAAGCCUGAUGUAGCAACGCUGCGUGCGUGAUGCCGGCCUUCGGGUGGUAAACCGCUUUCGCCUGUGACGAAGCGUGCGUGACGGUAAUUGGUAAAGAAGCACCGGCUAACUACGUG